UACAGAGGUCCCAAGCGUUGUUCGGAUUCAUUGGGCGUAAAGGGUGCGUAGGUGGGAAUGUAAGUCAGUGGUGAAAUCUCUGAGCUUAACUCAGAAACUGCCAUUGAUACUAUGUUUCUUGAAUUUUCUGGAGGUCAGCGGAAUAUGUCAUGUAGCGGUGAAAUGCUUAGAUAUGACAUAGAACACCAAUUGCGAAGGCAGCUGGCUACAGGGAUAUUGACACUGAGGCACGAAAGCGUGGGGAUCAAACAGG
rnacentral:rRNA from 1 species